AGAAGUAAUGUCUACUUGAAAUAUUUUCGAUUUGAAAAUGAGUUAAGGAAAAUUGGUACUACCUUAAAUUACCCUUGGUACUUUUAAAACUUUGCAAGGACUGCUUAAUAGACAAAUAUUUUCCCUGAAAACACUGGAAAGCAGCACAACAACUAAGAAGAGGAGAAAUCCUUGGCAAAAGAUCAUGAAAGAAAUAUGCUGCAAUAUAUUGUUGCUAUGUCAAAAAGGCAGAGUACCUGUAUUAAUCUGGGAUGCUUGGAGCUGCUCUCCCUUACCAGAUGCGUAACUGUGGUAUAUAUGUGUUAUGUCACCCUCUGCUUAGAGUUUAAAGCUUUCUGUUGCAGAUUUUGGUUUUGAGGUAAAUCAAAGGGAUGGUAAGAAACACAUAUUUGCACGCAAAUUAUCACAGUAUAAGUUCGAAGGGACCCACAAGGAUCACCGAGUCCAGCUCCUGUCCCUGCACAAGACCAUCCCCAAGAGUCCCCGAGAGCGUUGUCCAAACGACAAAGACAGUAAUUAAAAUAUCGUGUGUGCGGAAGGCAAAAGGGCGCGGAGGGGAAGGUGCUGCCCCGAGGGGAUCGCCUCCGAGCUGCCCAUUGCAGCCGUGUCCCACAGCCGCCGGACAGCGCGGCAGGGCAGGGCGGAACGCCUCCAGGGCAGGAACAGCCAAGCACGCUUCGCACAGCCUGCCUGGGAGAGCGCCGUGUGAUAGCAUCACAGCUCCUCAGGGCAGGGAAACUCCCGGCCGGCCACCGUGCGGCGGGGCGGGACGGCCCGAGAGCCCCGAGCUCCGAGAGCCCCGAACCCGCUCCGUGCCCGCAGGUGCCGCCGGCACGGCUCCGGCAUGGCUCCGGCAGCGCUCCGGGCGCGCUGCAGCGUCGCCACAGCGGCCGAGAGCAGCGAGGAGCUGGCCCGCCGGGGUGGCCAGAGGAUCCAUGGGCUGAGGUCCAAGUGAAAUUCCAGAGUUCUGCUGUAUCUAAUGUCCUGUCCUUCGGCUGGUGAGCAGGAGCAGCUGCACAAACCCUGCAUCUGUGUGACAGGAGCCUGUUCAUUUCCUUGGGACACCUGUAUGUGAAGAACAUGUGAUCAUGAGUUAUCUGCAUUUCUUAACACUGCCUCUUGUGUGCUGGACUCUUGGAUAUUAAUUUGCAAUAGAUUUAACAUUAGUAAGCAAGCUCUUAUUCCAGAGUUGCCAGUUCCCUGAUGAAUGGAGCUGAAAUCGCCUCUCAGGAAGAGUGAUCAGUAAACUGUGUUUGUGAAGACUGCCUCUAUUUUUGUGGAAAUUUCACUGAGGUGAAGAUUGUGACUGGAAAGAUACUAACUAAGAUGACAACAGUAAUUCAUAAACACCCCAUCCCUGAUGCAUUCUAGAAAGAUUUAUCACAAGCUGCUGAAGUGGAGUUUCACCUAUGACAACGAGUAAUAAGAUGACAUUGAAGAAAACCCUCCUAUUUGGGUUGUAGCAUGUGCAAAUAUAUCAACAUUGGAUCUGAAUCCCUGAAUUAGCCCUGAUUUGCCCUCUAUUCUUUUCAGUCUGUGAGUUUGCACUGUCUUCUAAAUUCCUGAAUGGAUACUUCGAAGACUAACAAGAGUCAAGAAGUUUUUCUUCAGUUUGAGAGGGUUUGACUCCUAUUUUAUUGUUUGUACACCAUCCUUUAUAAAUUAAUUGGUCAUUGAAACUGUAAAUAUUGUGUUUUUUCUUACCAUUUUGUUUCUGUUUAUUACACCAGCCAAGGAAGAGAUAAAUCUGAAGUUUUUUUCAGCAGAAGAUAUAAUUUGACUCCAGAAGAUCUUCCUGUGCUUUUUCAAAUAAAAAAAUGGAAGUUUUGUUUUGAAUUCAGUGGAAGUGAGAUCAAACUCUCAGUCACUUUGGACAUAAGAAAUGAACAAAGGGACUUGACACAAUAACAUGCCAUUCAGGUUGUUCAAUUUACACUUUUAUUUGCAGGUAUUCUCUUCUUCUGAAUAAUUAAUUUAUUUUAUUAUCAGUGUAAUGCUUUAUGCCUUGGAUUUUUAUAGUACAGUAG